rnacentral:rRNA from 1 species
AUUGAACGCUGGCGGCAUGCCUAACACAUGCAAGUCGAACGGAGAUAGGGGCAACCUUAUUUCAGUGGCGGACGGGUGAGGAAUGCGUCGGAAUCUGCCCUAUGGUGGGGGAUAACACAGGGAAACUUGUGCUAAUACCGCAUAAUGUCGAGAGACCAAAGCAGGGGACCGCAAGGCCUUGCGCGAUAGGAUGAGCCGACGCCCGAUUAGCUUGUUGGUAGGGUAAUGGCCUACCAAGGCGACGAUCGGUAGCUGGUCUGAGAGGAUGAUCAGCCACACUGGGACUGAGACACGGCCCAGACUCCUACGGGAGGGCAGCAGUGGGGGAAGUAUUGGACGAAUAGGGCGGCGAAGACCUGAUCCAGCAAUAGCCGCGUGUGUGAAGAAGG